UACGUAGGGGGCAAGCGUUGUCCGGAUUCAUUGGGCGUAAAGAGCGUGUAGGCGGCCAGGUAGGUCGGUUGUGAAAACUGGAGGCUCAACCUUCAGAGGUCGACCGAAACCAUCUGGCUAGAGUCCGGGAGAGGAGAGUGGAAUUCCUGGUGUAGCGGUGAAAUGCGUAGAGAUCCGGAGGAACACCAGUGGCGAAGGCGGGUUGCUGGGCCGACACUGACGCUGAUGCGCGAAAGCCAGGGGAGCGAACGGG
rnacentral:rRNA from 1 species